GAUGAACGCUGGCGGCGUGCCUAAUACAUGCAAGUCGAGCGAACGGACGAGAAGCUUGCUUCUCUGAUGUUAGCGGCGGACGGGUGAGUAACACGUGGAUAACCUACCUAUAAGACUGGGAUAACUUCGGGAAACCGGAGCUAAUACCGGAUGAUAUUUUGAACCGCAUGGUUCAAAAGUGAAAGACGGUAUUGCUGUCACUUAUAGAUGGAUCCGCGCUGCAUUAGCUAGUUGGUAAGGUAACGGCUUACCAAGGCAACGAUGCAUAGCCGACCUGAGAGGGUGAUCGGCCACACUGGAACUGAGACACGGUCCAGACUCCUACGGGAGGCAGCAGUAGGGAAUCUUCCGCAAUGGGCGAAAGCCUGACGGAGCAACGCCGCGUGAGUGAUGAAGGUCUUCGGAUCGUAAAACUCUGUUAUUAGGGAAGAACAUAUGUGUAAGUAACUGUGCACAUCUUGACGGUACCUAAUCAGAAAGCCACGGCUAACUACGUG
rnacentral:rRNA from 1 species